UACGGAGGAUGCGAGCGUUAUCCGGAUUUAUUGGGUUUAAAGGGUGCGCAGGCGGAAUGUCAAGUCAGCGGUAAAAUUUCGGGGCUCAACCCCGUCGUGCCGUUGAAACUGGCAGUCUCGAGUUGGAGAGAAGUAUGCGGAAUGCGCGGUGUAGCGGUGAAAUGCAUAGAUAUCACGCAGAACGCCGAUUGCGAAGGCAGCAUACCGGCGCCCAACUGACGCUGAGGCACGAAAGCGUGGGGAUCGAACAGG
rnacentral:rRNA from 1 species